GAUGAAGAACGUAGCGAAAUGCGAUAAGUAAUGCGAAUUGCAGAAUUUCCGUGAGUCAUCGAAUCUUUGAACGCACAUUGCGCCCCUUGGUAUUCCUUGGGGCAUGCCUGUUCGAGCGUCAUUUACACCCUCAAGCUCUGCUUGGUGUUGGGCGUCUGUCCCGCCUCCCGGGCGUGGACUCGCCUCAAAGCGAUUGGCGGCUGGUAUGAUGGCCUGGAGUGCAGCAGGAUUGCGCCCCUUGUCCGGAGGCCGGCUCCCACAAGCUAAACCCCCACUAUUUUUGACCUCGAAUCAGGUAGGGAUACCCGCUGAACUUAAGCAUAUCAAUAAGCGGAGGA
rnacentral:misc_RNA from 1 species